UACGUAGGGUGCAAGCGUUAUCCGGAAUCAUUGGGCGUAAAGCGUUUGUAGGCGGUUUGGAAAGUUUGUGGUUAAACCUGGUCGCUCAACGAUCAGUUCGUCACAAAAACUCCCAAACUAGAGGAUGGUAGAGGUAACUGGAAUUCCACAUGUAGGGGUAAAAUCCGUUGAUAUGUGGAGGAACACCAAAAGCGAAGGCAGGUUACUGGACCAUUUCUGACGCUGAGGAACGAAAGCGUGGGGAGCAAACAGG
rnacentral:rRNA from 1 species